rnacentral:rRNA from 1 species
UACGAAGGGGGGCUAGCGUUGCUCGGAAUCACUGGGCGUAAAGCGCACGUAGGCGGAUCUUUUAAGUCAGGGGGUGAAAUCCUGGAGCUCAACUCCAGAACUGCCUUUUGAUACUGGGGAUCUCGAGUCCGGGAGAGGUGAGUGGAACUGCGAGUGUAGAGGUGAAAUUCGUAGAUAUUCGCAAGAACACCAGUGGCGAAGGCGCUCACUGGCCCGGUACUGACGCUGAGGUGCGAAAAGCGUGGGGAGCAAACAGG